AUUUAAUGAUGGGGACAACUUGCACAGAGCUUCUUAAAUUGCUCCUAAUAUUCAUACAAACUCUCUCCAUUAUACUACCGGAUGCCACGAAUUUCUUUUCUUAUGUU